GGGGUCGUAGCGCAGAGGUCGACGCGCCCGUACCCAAGCUGGAGGACGCCGGUUCGAAUCCGGCCGGCCCCACC
rnacentral:tRNA from 1 species